rnacentral:tRNA from 1 species
GAGACUUAAGAAAAGAUAAAGCUUCUAACUUCAUUCUAGGGCGGUUAAAUUCCGUCCACUUCUCC